rnacentral:rRNA from 1 species
UACGUAGGUGGCAAGCGUUGUCCGGAUUUACUGGGCGUAAAGAGCGCGCAGGCGGUCUUGUAAGUCGAAUGUGAAAGCCCCUGGCUCAACUGGGGAGGGUCAUUCGAUACUGCUCGACUCGAAGGCAGGAGAGGGAAGCGGAAUUCCCGGUGUAGUGGUGAAAUGCGUAGAUAUCGGGAGGAACACCAGUGGCGAAGGCGGCUUUCUGGCCUGUUCUUGACGCUGAGGCGCGAAAGCUAGGGGAGCAAACGGG